rnacentral:rRNA from 1 species
CCUACGGGAGGCAGCAGUGGGGAAUCUUGCGCAAUGGGCGAAAGCCUGACGCAGCCAUGCCGCGUGAAUGAUGAAGGUCUUAGGAUUGUAAAAUUCUUUCAGUAGGGACGAUAAUGACGGUACCUACAGAAGAAGCCCCGGCUAACUUCGUGCCAGCAGCCGCGGUAAUACGAAGGGGGCUAGCGUUGCUCGGAAUUACUGGGCGUAAAGGGAGCGUAGGCGGGUUAUCAAGUUGGAGGUGAAAGCCCAGGGCUCAACCUUGGAAUUGCCUUCAAAACUGAUAGCCUAGAGUAUGAUAGAGGUAAGUGGAACUCCGAGUGUAGAGGUGAAAUUCGUAGAUAUUCGGAAGAAUACCAGUGGCGAAGGCGACUUACUGGAUCAUGACUGACGCUGAGGCUCGAAAGCGUGGGGAGCAAACAGGAUUAGAUACCCUGGUAGUCCACGCUGUAAACGAUGAUUGCUAGUUGUCGGACGGCAUGCCGUUCGGUGACGCAGCUAACGCAUUAAGCAAUCCGCCUGGGGAGUACGGUCGCAAGAUUAAACUUAAGGAAUUGACGG